UACGUAGGGUGCGAGCGUUAAUCGGAAUUACUGGGCGUAAAGGGUGCGCAGGCGGCUCCGCAAGUCAGACGUGAAAUCCCCGGGCUUAACUUGGGAAUGGCAUUUGAAACUACGAAGCUGGAGUGUGGCAGAGGGAGGUGGAAUUCCACGUGUAGCGGUGAAAUGCGUAGAUAUGUGGAGGAACACCGAUGGCGAAGGCAGCCUCCUGGGCCAACACUGACGCUCAUGCACGAAAGUGUGGGGGGCAAACAGG
rnacentral:rRNA from 1 species